UACAAUAGCGUAUAUUAAACUUGUUGCAGUUAAAAAGCUCGUAGUUGAAUUUUAGCGUGUUCGAGUUUGCCAUUCGUUUGGCUUUUUCGAGUUCGCUUUUGGGUUUUCCCUUUUUACUUUGAGAAAAUUAGAGUGUUUCAAGCAGACUUUUGUCUUGAAUACUUCAGCAUGGAAUAAUAGAGUAGGACUUUGGUUCUAUUUUGUUGGUUAUUGAACCUUAGUAAUGGUUAAUAGGAACGGUUGGGGGCAUUCGUAUUUAACUGUCAGAGGUGA
rnacentral:rRNA from 1 species